UGGGUAACCUGCCUCAAAGAGGGGAAUAGCCCCCCGAAAGGGAGAUUAAUACCGCAUAAUAUGUUUAAGUCGCAUGACUUUAACAUCAAAAGGAUUUUUCUUUUAGAAAUUUCCACUUUGAGAUGGACCCGCGGCGCAUUAGCUAGUUGGUGAGGUAACGGCUCACCAAGGCAACGAUGCGUAGCCGACCUGAGAGGGUGAUCGGCCACAUUGGAACUGAGACACGGUCCAGACUCCUACGGGAGCAG
rnacentral:rRNA from 1 species